rnacentral:rRNA from 1 species
UAGGGAAUCUUCCACAAUGGACGCAAGUCUGAUGGAGCAACGCCGCGUGAGUGAAGAAGGCUUUCGGGUCGUAAAACUCUGUUAUUGAAGAAGAACGUGUGUGACAGUAACUGGUCAUGCAGUGACGGUAUUCAAUCAGAAAGUCACGGCUAACUACGUGCCAGCAGCCGCGGUAAUACGUAGGUGGCAAGCGUUGUCCGGAUUUAUUGGGCGUAAAGCGAGUGCAGGCGGUCUUUUAAGUCUGAUGUGAAAGCCUUCGGCUUAACCGAAGAAGGGCAUCGGAAACUGGGAGACUUGAGUGCAGAAGAGGAGAGUGGAACUCCAUGUGUAGCGGUGAAAUGCGUAGAUAUAUGGAAGAAACACCAGUGGCGAAGGCGGCUCUCUGGUCUGUAACUGACGCUGAGGCUCGAAAGCGUGGGGUAGCAAACAGGAUUAGAUACCCUGGUAG